rnacentral:rRNA from 1 species
AUUGAACGCUGGCGGCAGGCCUAACACAUGCAAGUAGAACGCAGUUGCGAACGGGUGAGUAACGCGUAGGUAACUGCCUCAUAGCGGGGGAUAACCAUUGGAAACGAUAGCUAAUACCGCAUACUGUGAGAUGGACCUGCGUUGUAUUAGGUAGUUGGUGAGGUAAAGGCUCACCAAGGCGACGGUACAUAGCCGACCUGAGAGGGUGGGCGGCCACACUGGGACUGGGACACGGCCCAGGCUCCGACGGGAGGCAACAGUAGGGAAUCUUCGGCAAUGGACGGAAGUCUGACCAAGCAACGGCGGGUGAGUGAAGGAGGUUUUCGGAUCGUAAAGCUCUGUUGUGAGAGGAGCGGUAACUGACCAGGAAGGGACGGCUAACUACGUGCCAGCAGCCGCGGUAAUAC